rnacentral:lncRNA from 1 species
UAUACUUGUAUGGCACCAAAUUCAUCCCAUCUCUUACAGGAGUCACCACACAAAACUCGGCAACUGCAUAAUAUGCAAGCUUCUCUUGUGUAGUGACAGGUCCCUUGAGGAAAACUAUUGGCUGGUAUCCAGGUUCCCCAUAUUUGUUAUUGACCUCCUUGGCAAUGCUAUUGGCCUCAUCCAGAAGUUGUUGCACAUCCCGGCCUAAACUCCUCGCCGGGUUUGUAAUCUGUACUAACACCACUUUGCCCCUCAAUUCCUGAUUCGUUUCCAAAAGCUCCCCCAUGGCUGAAAAUUUCUGAGGAAUUCCCUUAAACAAGUCCAAAUCAUCGA